UAAAAGGCACUGGUUGGAACAGCUGGGAGACUUGCAGGAGUUUUGGUGACAGGGGCCAUUGGCCUGUUUCAACACCAAACACAUGAAAAACAUCAGGAUACUACCAAACAAAGACUGAAGACCAUGUCACAGAGCAUGGAGAGGACAGCAAGGACUUCACAGUCCAACUGAUUCCAAUUACAAGUCCACCACAUGCUCCCUGCAUGCCCUGAGGAGGUAAUCAACCUUCCUGAGCCUCUGUUGCUUCAUCUCUAGAAGAGUCCUCAUAAUACCUGCCAGUCCAGUAUGCAUCCCACCGAAUCACAACCUCCUAUCAUUGCCUUGUCAUCAAGUCUUUGAGGGAUUGUGGACCAGGGAUGGAAGGAGCGAAGGAGUGACAGACUCGUUGGUAAUACAGAAUGAAGACAAUGAAACUUUUUACCUAAAGUGAUCAGCAUAAUGUCCUCUACUGAGAUAAAGAACGUGUUUCCAAAUUGCCUCUGGCAGGACAGAUAUCUAUCUAAGCAGAAAA